CCUUCUAGGUUGGCCGGGGCCUCCCGCAUCUCAGUGCGGUGGCAAGCUGGGCUUGCCCCUUCUCCUUCGUCUACCUCGAGUACGGCACAUACCGCCGGCGUUGCCGUUUUAGGAGGUCGCCGCCACUCACACGAUGUAUUUGGAUAUCGUCGCCACGCCACCUCUUGAUGAGGAUACGUCUUCCUCUGCCCGCGCGCUGCGUGUGCCGCGGCCGGGUCCCCGCCCCACAGAAUCUUGCUGUGCGCAGCGGUGGCAAGCGGGAUUAUGGCGCCGACGCGCGUCGUUGCAGCAUCCGGCGGCGCUUGGCGGAGGACUCCUCUCUGUCCUUGAAGACGGCAGAGGAGUAUUGCUACAGCAGCCAGCGCACGGCCUUGGAGUCGUACUUGUGCCUUAGGUCCACGCCCGGAUUCCAUCCCCGACGAGUUUUCUACGCCUCCUUCCCCUUUUAGAUCUUUCUUCUGUAUUUUGAUUUGCACUGAUUUUCUUUCGUUAAUUUGCUUUCUCUUCUUCUUGGAGAUGGAAUGCGUUUGUGCUGCUCCGCGUGUGGCCGGCGUGGUAGGCAGCCGGGACGUCCCGGCAGAGGCCGGAGUCCGUGCUGGUGCGCCGGGUUCUCUCUCUUGUAUGCAGGUGGGCGUCGCCACUAUUUCUAUGCGUUCCGCAUCUCCGUUUUUUGGUAGGCCUUCUUUCUCAUGUCUUCAUUGGUAGUAGCUGCUGGACAAGGGCAUGACACGGGUGAGCGUGCACGAGAAUGAGUACAACAUCUGAAAGAUGGGCGUGAUCACAGUUUACGUCUCAUUUUUUGAUAAAUCGGUGCCAUGAGGGUGAUUCUGAGCUAAUUUGCUGUUAUAGUGGUCAUAUUCUCUCGCUUAGUUUGGAAGCACAAACUUAACCAAACAGUAAGUUUUAAUUUUCAUUAUGUUUCUUCUCUCGCUUAGUACUGUAAACACCCGUAGCCUGAUGCCAUUGUAUAGUUAGAGAGCAUUGUGUUGUCCCACUAUUUUCCGCUUUGGCACUGUCUGAAUGUCAAAGACACUAGAUAUCCCACAAGGAGCACACUGAUGGACAAUUAGCAUAUUGUAAUGUGGAAUUGCAUAAUAUUUAAUACCUCAGAUUAAUUUAAUUUAGAUGUCUUAAACAUACCACCAUUGUAGGAUAAUGUUUAAGUGGACAGAAAUGGCAAUUGAACUGAAAGUCUAAGAACAUGCCUGUUUUGAUAGUUUCUCUGUAAACUGUCGAUUGGUGUGAGUUUAGUGGCAUUAUUUCCGCAUAUGUGUUAAGGCAACUAUCUAUCACCUACAAUGCACUGAAACAAUCUUCUGAUUUGUUUGUAUGCAGCUGAAGAAAAUGUGCAAGGUGCGUACAUAGCGUGGUAAUGAAGUAGAACUUUACCACGCUUUUUCUUAUUUGUCUCGAACAAAUGUAUUACCAUCAAUGCUUCGCCCAUUCUUCGUAUGUUUGCUAAAAGAUUCAAUUUAUUUUUACUAACCUCCAGGUGAUCUUUUCUGUAGUGAAUUGAACCUUAUGAAAAGAAAAACCUAUCUACAUGACUCCCAUUUCGUAGACUACUAUCUUCCCAAUUCAAAUGAACCACUGGCAUCUCAUAAAUGUUGAUGCUAUUUUUUUACUCCACAGACAUUAGAGAUCUUACCGAUCAAAACAAUAUUGCUCUCAUCAAUAUUAUGCUUGCAUGUUUUGAGUCAACCUUAAGAAUAAUCACUCACAUGAGUUUUUGGUACUGCUUAGCUGGUGGUAAUUACUAUCUCCCCUUUCCGGUGCUCCUGUAGAAAAACGUCUUUACUGGAGGACUUUUAAGCGGUGCAAACAUUGCUAGGGUACGUAUCUUUAUUUUCAUCACAUGCUGGCCUGCUGCGCCGCUUGCCGUGCGGGACGGACCGCUGUUGCUCGCCAUGUCGCCUUCUUCGAUUAUGGUUGGUGGGUGUGCUUCUAUUCAUCGUCGUGCUCCUCCUCCUUUUUCUGGUGAUCCGUCGCUGCCGCACCUCUGGUCAGGUCUUGGAAGAUUGGGUCGAGCUUUGCGGCCGGCGGCCUUCCUUAGUUGCCUGGCAAUGAGCUAGAAUAGGUCGCGGUCUUCGGUAAGCAGCCUACAUCGAGCAUCAACGACUUGCAGUUUUGGCAUUUUGUUGGUUCCUUAAUUCCCAGAUGAAGAUUCCCACCCCUUCAUCAAGAUUCAGUUUAUUUGUAUUUGUUUCGUCCAUUCGUACCAAGGUAGGCUACGUUUGGUGUUCCUGCUAUUCAGUGAAUUUCGUCUGUGGUCAGAGUGCGUGGUACGUUCCUCAACACAGGAUUUUGUUGUUUUUUCCGUCAUCGGAAAGUUUUUGAUUGUUUGCUGCUGCCGGUUGUUCUUUCUGUUGGGUUCCUGAGUUUUUUGCCUGCUGUGUUGGGUUCUGUUCUUGUGUUCGUGUGUUUUGCCCAAGGUGGAUGCUUGGAGGCAAGAUAUAUGGCUGGAAAAGUGACCAGUUGUUCUGCCUACGUAGGUCUUACUGUGAGUGGAGAUCCUCUUAGUUGCUCUGGGCUGGCUAUUGGUUGCUACCGGAGGUCACCUCCUCCGCAUCUGUGCUGGCGAUCUUCAAGAUGUUAUUGUUGUGCGGAUUGGGCGGUCCAGUGGUGCGCGUGGAAGGUGUGGUAGGGAGGGGUUGUGCUCGGCAUGCCGUUGCUCCUGUAGCAUCUAUGAUCGGUAGCCGUUUGUGGUCGCGGGAUUUUGCUGCUGGUAGUGUGAUUGGUUCUGCGGACUACUCAGAUGUUCCUUCUGUUGGUGGUAGAUUGCAUAUGUUCGCUAAGAGUGGAGAAGCUACAUCAUCCAGUGCGUAUCAGCCUACCAAUGGCUUCCCCGAAUUAAUGGUUUCCUCUACACAUAGCAACACUUUCAGUGGUACAAUCCUAUAUUCCUAUUACAGUUUGUAGUUUGAGGAUAUAAACUGAGCAAGUAAUCCUUUAGUUCAGCCUUGCUUCAGUGAAUAAGUUUCAUAUUACAGUUAUGAAUCCUUGCGUUCCAGCUGGUCAGAGCAUAUAAAGGUAUGAAGGUGUAGAUCGACAUUACUAUGUAAACUCAGUUCCUCCAUUAGCAGAAUUAAUUACUUUCUUAAGAGAUAAUAGGCAAUAUUAUUUACGAUUUCUCAACCUGAUGAGCUACUUUAAGGUGUUUCAUACAAAAUGAUACAUACCCUGUCAAAUCUUCCGAGAAAUUCUAACUUAGCUAUAAUUUAGUUCGACCUUCAUAUUUUAUCUAUGAUAUAUUUAUUUUCAAAAAUGUGGUCUAAUGAUUAAUUCCCCUAAUCAUCUCUAUGAUUUGCACUUUAAGAAGCCAGAGGAAAGUCAGGAACCGUUCAAGGCCUGUUGAUAUUCAGCAGUUCAGUGCAUGGCCUGUUUGAAUCAAAGGAUUGAACAGAGAGUGGAUGAUUGAAAUACUUAGAAUAUUCUGAUGGGAGUUGUUUGAUUUAUCACUUAUUUUCCCACAGGAUUUAUCACACAUUUUAUUAAAUGAAUUCCAUUUACUCAUAACCUAUUUGAAAUAAUAUAUUUUGCUUUAGUAGUGAUGUCAUAGGUUUGUAUGUACUAUUUGAAGCAACAAUUCUCAUUGGCCUAUACAUAAUAAGAACUAAUGAUUUUAAAUCGAAUACAGGAACAAGGCCAUCCUCCCAACACAAAUUUCAGGUUUGUGCAAAUGGUAGCUGGAGAGGUUCAGUUCUGAAACUACCUAUAGAUGCUACUAUGUUACACGUACUGCUGCACUUCAAGCCACGGCAGCUCAGAUCACAGUACGCCUAUGUUAUGUGCACUUUUCACUAGAAAAUACUUCCACGUAUACUAUAACCACUGAUUUCUUCUCUACUUCGUGUUGCACUGAAUGAAUAUUAUAUUGAAGACAACUCUUCGUCUCUUCUGUCUUUAUAUCAUCUCUACUGUUGUAAUCAGUUUGUUCAGUAAUAAGACAGUAUUUAUGCAGUUGAUUCUUACUCUGCCUUUCUAAUUUAUGUUUAUAGCAUGCACAGAACAGAAUUCAAUUACAAUUCAGUGUCAAACUCAGUGAACUUCUCAGCAGAGUUAAAAUUCUCAUUCACUACGCGAACUUGUAGUAAAUACUGGGAAAAAUGAGCUACAUACAACAUACCAGGCACCGAGACAUCUACUUCACCAGCAUGAAUGGUUGCUCCCGUCCCCCCCCCCCUCAAUCCGCCCUCCAUGGCUCUGUAUCCACCACCGCCUACCACUGCUAACUAAUUGCUCUGUAUCCAGGAUCUCAUCGUAGGUCGAUGAUGCCCAUGUGUGGGAUAUCGGCCGGCCGCGAGACUCCAUCCCUGCAGGAGUCAAGGAACGAGAACUCUUCCUUCUUUUCAUGGCUUACCUUUUUUCAUUCAUUUUUCUGGGUCUGGUUGAAGGAGUCAUCUCCUCUCACUAGCAUUUUUUGUCUUCUCUGGUUGGUUUGGUUGCUGGUGGUGAAGCCACUCACAGUUCCAAAAA